CUCAGUCAAACACAGGUGGGAGAAAAAACUUUCACUCAUUUUGGAAUUUUGCGAAAUCCAUGAUGGUCCAUUAUAUAACAACAGUGGCUCUGCUGUUUCACCUGCUUCCGUGGCAUGGCUGUGGUGGGGAACAAGCAGCAAGAUCGAAGAGAUUUUUGUCAGUCUUAUUGCCUCAGGAAAAACCAAACCAGAAUACAGG